GGGUUGUGAGGUUAAGCGACUAAGCGUACACGGUGGAUGCCCUGGCAGUCAGAGGCGAUGAAGGGCGUACUAAUCUGCGAUAAGCGCCGGUAAGGUGAUAUGAACCGUUAUAACCGGCGAUACCCGAAUGGGGAAACCCAGUGUGAUUCGUCACACUAUCAUUAACUGAAUCCAUAGGUUAAUGAGGCGAACCGGGGGAACUGAAACAUCUAAGUACCCCGAGGAAAAGAAAUCAACCGAGAUUCCCCCAGUAGCGGCGAGCGAACGGGGAGGAGCCCAGAGCCUGAAUCAGCAUGUGUGUUAGUGGAAGCGUCUGGAAAGGCGCGCGAUACAGGGUGACAGCCCCGUACACAAAAGCGCAUGUGCUGUGAGCUCGAUGAGUAGGGCGGGACACGUGGUAUCCUGUCUGAAUAUGGGGGGACCAUCCUCCAAGGCUAAAUACUCCUGACUGACCGAUAGUGAACCAGUACCGUGAGGGAAAGGCGAAAAGAACCCCGGCGAGGGGAGUGAAAAAGAACCUGAAACCGUGUACGUACAAGCAGUGGGAGCACAGGUUUACCUGUGUGACUGCGUACCUUUUGUAUAAUGGGUCAGCGACUUAUAUUCUGUAGCAAGGUUAACCGAAUAGGGGAGCCGGAGGGAAACCGAGUCUUAACCGGGCGUUAAGUUGCAGGGUAUAGACCCGAAACCCGGUGAUCUAGCCAUGGGCAGGUUGAAGGUUGGGUAACACUAACUGGAGGACCGAACCGACUAAUGUUGAAAAAUUAGCGGAUGACCUGUGGCUGGGGGUGAAAGGCCAAUCAAACCGGGAGAUAGCUGGUUCUCCCCGAAAGCUAUUUAGGUAGCGCCUCGUGAAUUCAUCUCCGGGGGUAGAGCACUGUUUCGGCUAGGGGGCCAUCCCGGCUUACCAACCCGAUGCAAACUGCGAAUACCGGAGAAUGUUAUCACGGGAGACACACGGCGGGUGCUAACGUCCGUCGUGAAGAGGGAAACAACCCAGACCGCCAGCUAAGGUCCCAAAGUCAUGGUUAAGUGGGAAACGAUGUGGGAAGGCCCAGACAGCCAGGAUGUUGGCUUAGAAGCAGCCAUCAUUUAAAGAAAGCGUAAUAGCUCACUGGUCGAGUCGGCCUGCGCGGAAGAUGUAACGGGGCUAAACCAUGCACCGAAGCUGCGGCAGCGACA
rnacentral:rRNA from 1 species